CCCGGAUUUGGGGCGUGACAGCGUGAUUCUCUGUAUUUGUAUCUCUUAUGCCAUCCAUAAUCCAAGUUUGGCAUUUGGAAACAAUUCAGCUGGAUUUAUCGAUAGAUACAGGAGAGACAAAAUUUGUUAAAAAUUUGGAAAGAAUUAGAACAACAAAAAAUAGAAAAUAAUAAAAUUUAAAAUAUAAGUAUUAUAAAAUAUUUAUAAAAUUUAUUUACAUAAAAAAUUAAGUAUAAGAGGGGCAGAAGUAACUAAUGAUAGCCCAAAAAAAAAGAAAAAAAUCACCUUUGGCAUUAAUAUAUGUCAUCAUUAAUUUGUAAAUAAAAAAAUUUUAAAUAAGUCAUGAAUAAUUUGUGAAUAGUUUAUGUAAUUUGAGAACAAUUGAAUGGUUAUGGAUUGACUUAUUUUUGGAGAAUAAUUCAGAGAAUUUUUCGAUAAAAAAUUGAAAAAAAAUUGAGAUUUUUUCUAUAGUUAAGAGAAUUUUUAACUAUGAUGUUAUCAAUGGUUGGUGUGGCUAGAAGCUCAUUGUUUAACAACCGAAAGUUAAAGCAUAUUUUGUUGGAGGGAGUUGAGCUAUAGAAUGGGAAUGAGAACGAGCGAUUCCCAUUUCAGCCAUUUAAUUGGGGGAGCCCCAUCCUUGUUUUAUUUGCAUGGAGGAAUAGAAUGUUGUAAUCCCCUAGAACUCAAUCGUGACUCUCUCCCAGUAUUCAAAUAUCAUUCCUAUUUUCAUUUUGAUUCUAGUUACAUACCAAACAUGUCAAGGAAUAUGAUCAUUCUGAUUCCUAUUUGAGUUCAUUCUAAUCUUGAUUCCGAUUGUGAACCAAACGCACUCUUAUAUUAUUGGUUAACAUAUAGGUGGUUAUACCACCAGCAUAUGAUGCAAUCAACUAUUUAUUGCCCGUCUUCUCUAGUGCUUUAGUCCCUUUCUUUUGGGAAACUUUACAUGUGCUUAUCCUGAUCUACUUGCAAUAAGACGCACAUCAAAGCCUUUGUGUUUUAUCAAAUGCUAUAAAAUUUGGCUAACACAGCCUGUGAUCUAAUCAUUCCUCAUUGGAAAUGUUUUCAAGAUAAUGUUGAUAAGAAAGGAUGAGCUAUACCCGCAUAUUCUGAAGUCAUAGAAGAAAACUACUUGCUAGCUGAGAUAGUUCAGGUUCACAAGUAUUCAGCUAUGCCCAAUUCAAACAUGAUGUGAUAUUCAAUUGUUGAUCUUUAUUUCAUUUUUUAUGUUAAAAGUUGUGUCCCAACGUGAUAUGCAUCUGUACUAAUUUUCAAUAAAGUUUUGGCAGUCCUUGAAGAUUUAAAUGUUGAGCUAAUGUAGCUGAUGAAAUGCAAAUUCAGUGGGAUGUUUCCAGCAAGGGGC
rnacentral:lncRNA from 1 species